rnacentral:rRNA from 1 species
CGGCGGACGGGUGAGUAACGCGUGGGUAACCUGCCCUGUACACACGGAUAACAUACCGAAAGAUAUGCUAAUACGAGAUAAAAUACUUUUAUCGCAUGGUAGAAGUAUCAAAGCUUUUGCGGUACAGGAUGGACCCGCGUCUGAUUAGCUAGUUGGUAAGGUAACGGCUUACCAAGGCGACGAUCAGUAGCCGACCUGAGAGGGUGAUCGGCCACAUUGGAACUGAGACACGGUCCAAACUCCUACGGGAGGCAGCAG